rnacentral:ncRNA from 1 species
UCUUAUCAAGAGCGGCGGAGGGACUGGCCCUGCGAUGCCCGGCAACCUAUCCAGCGAAACACGCGUGACAAGGUGCCAAUUCCUGACAGAUGAGAAUGGUGAAUCGAUGA